AGUGAACGCUGGCGGUAGGCCUAACACAUGCAAGUCGAACGGCAGCACAGUAAGAGCUUGCUCUUACGGGUGGCGAGUGGCGGACGGGUGAGGAAUACAUCGGAAUCUACUUUUUCGUGGGGGAUAACGUAGGGAAACUUACGCUAAUGCCGCAUACGACCUACGGGUGAAAGCAGGGGAUCUUCGGACCUUGCGCGAUUGAAUGAGCCGAUGUCGGAUUAGCUAGUUGGCGGGGUAAAGGCCCACCAAGGCGACGAUCCGUAGCUGGUCUGAGAGGAUGAUCAGCCACACUGGAACUGAGACACGGUCCAGACUCCUACGGGAGGCAGCAGUGGGGAAUAUUGGACAAUGGGCGCAAGCCUGAUCCAGCCAUACCGCGUGGGUGAAGAAGGCCUUCGGGUUGUAAAGCCCUUUUGUUGGGAAAGAAAAGCAGCAGGUUAAUACCCCGCUGUUCCGACGGUACCCAAAGAAUAAGCACCGGCUAACUUCGUG
rnacentral:rRNA from 1 species